rnacentral:rRNA from 1 species
CACUCCUGCGGGAGGCAGCAGUGGGGAAUUUUGGACAAUGGGCGAAAGCCUGAUCCAGCAAUGCCGCGUGAGUGAAGAAGGCCUUCGGGUUGUAAAGCUCUUUUGUCAGGGAAGAAACGGUGAGAGCUAAUAUCUUUUGCUAAUGACGGUACCUGAAGAAUAAGCACCGGCUAACUACGUGCCAGCAGCCGCGGUAAUACGUAGGGUGCAAGCGUUAAUCGGCAUUACUGGGCGUAAAGCGUGCGCAGGCGGUUUUGUAAGUCUGAUGUGAAAUCCCCGGGCUCAACCUGGGAAUUGCAUUGGAGACUGCAAGGCUAGAAUCUGGCAGAGGGGGGUAGAAUUCCACGUGUAGCAGUGAAAUGCGUAGAUAUGUGGAGGAACACCGAUGGCGAAGGCAGCCCCCUGGGUCAAGAUUGACGCUCAUGCACGAAAGCGUGGGGAGCAAACAGGAUUAGAUACCCUGGUAGUCC